UUUCCUACGGGAGGCAGCAGUGGGGAAUAUUGCACAAUGGGGGAAACCCUGAUGCAGCAACGCCGCGUGGGUGAAGGAGCGUUUCGGCGCGUAAAGCCCUGUCAGCGGGGAAGAAGAAAGACGGUACCCGACCAAGAAGCCCCGGCUAACUACGUGCCAGCAGCCGCGGUAACACGUAGGGGGCGAGCGUUAUCCGGAAUUAUUGGGUUUAAAGGGGGCGCAGACGGCAAUGCAAGCCAGGAGUGAAAGCCCGGGGCCCAACCCCGGGACUGCUCUUGGAACCGCAUGGCCGGAGUACAGGAGGG
rnacentral:rRNA from 1 species